GUACUGCUGAAGAGUCCCAAACUAAGACGAAACAGCUGUCCAGUAA
rnacentral:hammerhead_ribozyme from 1 species